rnacentral:rRNA from 1 species
UACGUAGGGUGCGAGCGUUGUCCGGAAUUAUUGGGCGUAAAGAGCUUGUAGGCGGUUUGUCGCGUCUGCUGUGAAAAUCCGGGGCUCAACCCCGGACUUGCAGUGGGUACGGGCAGACUAGAGUGUGGUAGGGGAGACUGGAAUUCCUGGUGUAGCGGUGAAAUGCGCAGAUAUCAGGAGGAACACCAGUGGCGAAGGCGGCUCUGGGAC